rnacentral:rRNA from 1 species
GAUGAACGCUGGCGGCGUGCCUAAUACAUGCAAGUCGAGCGAACAGACGAGAGUGCUUGCACUCUCUGACGUUAGCGGCGGACGGGUGAGUAACACGUGGGUAACCUACCUAUAAGACUGGGAUAACUUCGGGAAACCGGAGCUAAUACCGGAUAAUAUUUAGCUUCGCAUGAAGCAAUAGUGAAAGACGGUUCUGCCGUCACUUAUAGAUGGACCCGCGGUGUAUUAGCUAGUUGGUGAGGUAACGGCUCACCAAGGCAACGAUACAUAGCCGACCUGAGAGGGUGAUCGGCCACACUGGGACUGAGACACGGCCCAGACUCCUACGGGAGGCAGCAGUAGGGAAUCUUCCGCAAUGGACGAAAGUCUGACGGAGCAAUGCCGCGUGAGUGAAGAAGGUUUUCGGAUCGUAAAACUCUGUUGUAAGGGAAGAACAAGUACGUUAGUAACUGAACGUACCUUGACGGUACCUUACCAGAAAGCCACGGCUAACUACGUG